GGACCUUGAAAAUCCAGGAGAGGGCCACGUGGAGGUGUCGCGCCGGUUCGUACCCAUAUCCGCAGCAGGUCUCUAAGGUAGAGAGUCGUUAGUCGAUAGACUAAUGUAGGUAAGGGAUGUCGGCAAAUUGGAUCCGUAACUUCAGAAUAAGGAUUGGCUCUGAGGAGCGGGACGUGUUGAGCUUGGUCGGGAAGCGGGUCUGGCUGACGUGCCGGGCCUGGGCGAGGUAAGCGCUCGGCGUUCUCGCGCCGAACACGGGAUCCGAGCUCGAUCCGUGCCUUGGCCUCCCGCGGAUCUUCCUUGCUGCAAGACUUCCGUGGCGGCGCGAGCCGUCGCGGUGGUCCUCUUCGGCCGCCAUUCAACUCUCAGCUCAGAACUGGCACGGACUACGGGAAUCCGACUGUCUAAUUAAAACAAAGCAUUGCGAUGGCCCUCGCAGGUGUUGACGCAAUGUGAUUUCUGCCCAGUGCUCUGAACGUCAACGUGAAGAAAUUCUAGCAAGCGCGGAUAAACGGCGGGAGUAACUAUGACUCUCUUAAAGCGCCCAACUCGACGCUCAUGGGUCACCAUGAAAGGCGUUGGUUGCUUAAGACAGCGGGACGGUGGCCAUGGAAGUCGUAAUCCGAUAAGGAAAACCACCCCAGAAGGUCCAUCUAAUCUCCACGUACCUAGUCUCGCACUACCUGU
rnacentral:ncRNA from 1 species